AGGAACCAUUGCUGCCGCAGAUACCCAAGAGCUACUUGAGGAUAAAGGAUGGGACGAUGACUGCGAGGAUACUGUUGAAGUACUUGGCCAAUAAGCUGGGUUUGGAGGAUGGAUCUGAGGUGCAGCUUUCCUGUAGAGGCCAGCAAAUUCCUCCUCCGAUGACACUGCACCAAGUCAGAGACCAAGUAUGGCGUUCUACAGAAGCAACAGUGCUGCUGCCUCCUGAAUCGGCAUCCAUCACUGACCAUCUCAUCACCCUGCAUUACAGCAGAAGUGUAUAGGAAACUCUAUUUCUUUUUCCCUUCUUCUUCUUCUUCUCUGACAUUGUGAUCAUCAUGGCAAAUAGAAGAUUGUUUACCUCAAGUGCAGCAUUAGCCUGGAGAAGUGCAUCAUGCAAGUUCCAGGCAUGCAGGAAUCACUUGUCUACAGUGCAGUGAAAGCCUCAUUGGCUUCUGCAUGCUUCUCCUCCUUCCUACUUCACUGAUUCCAUGUCCUUCUGCCUCAUACUUGUCCAACAUACAACUCUCAGUCAUAAGAUUUCAUUCUUUUUGUUAUUCUUUGUUUGUGAUCAUUUCACAAAAGAAUCAGGCAUUGAGGA